rnacentral:piRNA from 1 species
UGCAAACACAAUUGGUGAACGCUCUUUGU